UACGUAGGGGGCUAGCGUUGUCCGGAUUUAUUGGGCGUAAAGAGCGUGUAGGCGGCCAGGUAGGUCUGCUGUGAAAACUCGAGGCUCAACCUCGAGACGUCGGCGGAAACCAUCUGGCUAGAGUCCGGAAGAGGAGAACGGAAUUCCCGGUGUGAGCGGUGAAAUGCGCAGAUAUCGGGAAGAACACCCGUGGCGAAGGCGGUUCUCUGGGACG
rnacentral:rRNA from 1 species